GCAUGGUAAUGGAUUUGUAGCAGACUCUUCUUUGUGGACCUCUUAAAAGUAUAUCCAUGCCAGAGUAAACUGCAGUCACAAAUCAUUGCCCAGAUUUCUUACCUGUGGGUGGUGAGCACUGAAAAAGAUUGCAGUUUG